AACUCGCCUGCAUGAAGCUGGAAUUGCUAGUAAUCGCGGAUCAGCAAGCCGCGGUGAAUACGUUCCCGGGCCUUGUACACACCGCCCGUCACACCAUGAGAGUCGGGAACACCCGAAGUCCGUAGUCUAACCGCAAGGGGGGCGCGGCCGAAGGUGGGUCCGGUAAAUUGGGGUGAAGUCGUAACAAGGUAAC
rnacentral:rRNA from 1 species